GAUGAACGCUGGCGGCGUGCCUAAUACAUGCAAGUCGAGCGAACAGACGAGGAGCUUGCUCCUCUGACGUUAGCGGCGGACGGGUGAGUAACACGUGGAUAACCUACCUAUAAGACUGGGAUAACUUCGGGAAACCGGAGCUAAUACCGGAUAAUAUAUUGAACCGCAUGGUUCAAUAGUGAAAGACGGUUUUGCUGUCACUUAUAGAUGGAUCCGCGCCGCAUUAGCUAGUUGGUAAGGUAACAGCUUACCAAGGCAACGAUGCGUAGCCGACCUGAGAGGGUGGUCGGCCACACUGGAACUGAGACACGGUCCAGACUCCUACGGGAGGCAGCAGUAGGGAAUCUUCCGCAAUGGGCGAAAGCCUGACGGAGCAACGCCGCGUGAGUGAUGAAGGUCUUCGGAUCGUAAAACUCUGUUAUUAGGGAAGAACAAAUGUGUAAGUAACUAUGCACGUCUUGACGGUACCUAAUCAGAAAGCCACGGCUAACUACGUG
rnacentral:rRNA from 1 species